UGUUUCGGCUAGGGGGCCAUCCCGGCUUACCAACCCGAUGCAAACUGCGAAUACCGGAGAAUGUUAUCACGGGAGACACACGGCGGGUGCUAACGUCCGUCGUGAAGAGGGAAACAACCCAGACCGCCAGCUAAGGUCCCAAAGUCAUGGUUAAGUGGGAAACGAUGUGGGAAGGCCCAGACAGCCAGGAUGUUGGCUUAGAAGCAGCCAUCAUUUAAAGAAAGCGUAAUAGCUCACUGGUCGAGUCGGCCUGCGCGGAAGAUGUAACGGGGCUAAACCAUGCACCGAAGCUGCGGCAGCGAACGUAUCACUUAAAGCGAUUCAGCGGGUUACGAUUGACGGAGCGAAGCGACGUCAAAGCGUAUACAAAGUCGAGUCGGUUUAAGGAUACGUUCGUUGGGUAGGGGAGCGUUCUGUAAGCCUGUGAAGGUGGCCUGUGAGGGUUGCUGGAGGUAUCAGAAGUGCGAAUGCUGACAUAAGUAACGAUAAAGCGGGUGAAAAGCCCGCUCGCCGGAAGACCAAGGGUUCCUGUCCAACGUUAAUCGGGGCAGGGUGAGUCGACCCCUAAGGCGAGGCCGAAAGGCGUAGUCGAUGGGAAACGGGUUAAUAUUCCCGUACUUGGUGUUACUGCGAAGGGGGGACGGAGAAGGCUAUGUUGGCCGGGCGACGGUUGUCCCGGUUUAAGCGUGUAGGUGUGUGUUCCAGGUAAAUCCGGUUCACUUUAACACUGAGGCGUGAUGACGAGGCACUACGGUGCUGAAGCAACAAAUGCCCUGCUUCCAGGAAAAGCCUCUAAGCAUCAGGUAACAUCAAAUCGUACCCCAAACCGACACAGGUGGUCAGGUAGAGAAUACCAAGGCGCUUGAGAGAACUCGGGUGAAGGAACUAGGCAAAAUGGUGCCGUAACUUCGGGAGAAGGCACGCUGACACGUAGGUGAAGUGAUUUACUCACGGAGCUGAAGUCAGUCGAAGAUACCAGCUGGCUGCAACUGUUUAUUAAAAACACAGCACUGUGCAAACACGAAAGUGGACGUAUACGGUGUGACGCCUGCCCGGUGCCGGAAGGUUAAUUGAUGGGGUCAGCGCAAGCGAAGCUCCUGAUCGAAGCCCCGGUAAACGGCGGCCGUAACUAUAACGGUCCUAAGGUAGCGAAAUUCCUUGUCGGGUAAGUUCCGACCUGCACGAAUGGCGUAAUGAUGGCCAGGCUGUCUCCACCCGAGACUCAGUGAAAUUGAACUCGCUGUGAAGAUGCAGUGUACCCGCGGCAAGACGGAAAGACCCCGUGAACCUUUACUAUAGCUUGACACUGAACAUUGAGCCUUGAUGUGUAGGAUAGGUGGGAGGCUUUG
rnacentral:rRNA from 1 species